CACCUCGUGGUGCAAUGCCAGCAUGUCUGACUCCAGAUCAGAAGGCUGUGUAUUCAAGUCACACUGGAGUCA
rnacentral:tRNA from 1 species